ACAUAAUGAGUUUUGUGCCCAUAGAUAGUAUAAGGGCCUGUUUGGCCUAGCUUCUGAAAAAGUAAUUUCUGAAAAAGUGAUUUUGAUUUGGAGAUGUUAUUUUGCUUAAAAGCUGUAGAGCGUUUGGCGGAAUUUAGAUAAAAAUGAAUUUAUAUUUAACAUUUUAAAUAUUUUCAUUUAAAAUUUUUAAGUUAAAAAUAUAAAUUUAUAAUUAAUAUUUACUAAUAGUGGACAUAGAUUACGUAUAA
rnacentral:lncRNA from 1 species